UGGGGAAUAUUGGACAAUGGGCGCAAGCCUGAUCCAGCCAUGCCGCGUGAGUGACGAAGGCCUUAGGGUUGUAAAGCUCUUUUGGCGGGGAAGAUAAUGACGGUACCCGCAGAAUAAGCUCCGGCUAACUUCGUGCCAGCAGCCGCGGUAAUACGAAGGGAGCUAGCGUUGUUCGGAAUCACUGGGCGUAAAGCGCACGUAGGCGGACUUUCAAGUCAGGGGUGAAAUCCCGGGGCUCAACCUCGGAACUGCCUUUGAUACUGUUGGUCUCGAGUCCGGAAGAGGUGAGUGGAAUUCCUAGUGUAGAGGUGAAAUUCGUAGAUAUUAGGAAGAACACCGGUGGCGAAGGCGGCUCACUGAUCCGGUACUGACGCUGAGGUGCGAAAGCGUGGGGAGCAAACA
rnacentral:rRNA from 1 species